rnacentral:rRNA from 1 species
UGGGGAAUAUUGGACAAUGGGCGAAAGCCUGAUCCAGCCAUGCCGCGUGUGUGAAGAAGGUCUUCGGAUUGUAAAGCACUUUAAGUUGGGGGGAAGGGCAGUAAGCGAAUACCUUGCUGUUUUGACGUUACCGACAGAAUAAGCACCGGCUAACUCUGUGCCAGCAGCCGCGGUAAUACAGAGGGUGCAAGCGUUAAUCGGAAUUACUGGGCGUAAAGCGCGCGUAGGUGGUUCGUUAAGUUGAAUGUGAAAGCCCCGGGCUCAACCUGGGAACUGUAUCCAAAACUGGCGAGCUAGAGUAGGGCAGAGGGUGGUGGAAUUUCCUGUGUAGCGGUGAAAUGCGUAGAUAUAGGAAGGAACACCAGUGGCGAAGGCGACCACCUGGGCUCAUACUGACACUGAGGUGCGAAAGCGUGGGGAGCAAACAGG